rnacentral:rRNA from 1 species
UACGUAGGGGGCAAGCGUUGUCCGGAAUCAUUGGGCGUAAAGAGCGCGUAGGCGGCCCUGUAAGUCCGCUGUGAAAGUCAAGGGCUCAACCCUUGAAUGCCGGUGGAUACUGCAGGGCUAGAGUCCGGAAGAGGCGAGUGGAAUUCCUGGUGUAGCGGUGAAAUGCGCAGAUAUCAGGAAGAACACCAAUGGCGAAGGCAGCUCUCUGGGACGGUACUGACGCUGAGACGCGAAAGCGUGGGGAGCGAACAGG